GUGAAUCAUCGAAUUUUUGAACGCAAAUUGCACUCUCUUGGGAGAGAAUGCGUGUUUGAGGGUCAGCCUAAAAAAUAUCGACAUAGUUGCUGUUUCGCGGUGACAUUCGUUGGAAAUUCGGUCAUCUUAAACAUUUGGGUUUUAAACGGAUUAAAAUUUUCUUUACGAUUCCACGAACGUGUAUAAGAUUUUACUUCUCACACGCUUAAGGUUUCGAUCUUUAUUAGUAGUGGCAGUUGCAUCGGUUCACGUUAACAAA
rnacentral:misc_RNA from 1 species